ensembl:lncRNA
AAGCAAACAGUUUUCGACUGUGCCAGUGUGCGUGUGUGCCUUUGUGCGAACAGGAGGACGAUGAUGAAGCUGGAGAUAAUCUGGAUGAUCCUGAGCUAUGGCAUGACUUAACCCUAGAAGACCAGCAAACCGUCAAUGCUGCUGUGGCAAACAAACAGUGCCUCCAGUGUUUUGCACACACAUUGCAGCUGGUUGUGGGAGACGGUUUGAAAGAAACAAAAGCGGCAUGUCCUUCUCUCUCCAAGUUAUCAAAACUUAGCUCCCUGCUCCACACAAGCACAACGUUUAAAGACAUCUUCGAUGGUGAAUUUGGGGAGCACAGAGGCAUCCCUGCUGCAGUGAGUACGAGGUGGAAUUCCACACUGCGGCAGGUGAAAGCAGUCCGUCAUUGUGAUCAGCAAAAGCUCUGCGCAAUUCUUGAAAAGGCCGGGCAUAAAGAACUGUCCUUCACACCACGAGAGUGGAAUCUGCUGAAGGAGUUGGUGGACAUCUUGAAACCGUUCGGAGAAGCAACUGAUUUGACACGGGGAGAAAUUCAUUACAAUCAGUGCAGUUGUUCCAUCCGUCUUAUCCCUCAAUCAUCAUCUUGAGAAGCUGAAGCCUCAAGUUUGUUUCCUGAGCGGCCUGGUCAGAGGUCUGCAGGCCUCCCUGAAAAAAGGAUUUCCUGGGAUCUUCAUUAAUGUGAAAAUGGCCCAGUUUGAAGAAGGGAUCACUGCCCCCUUUUCAGACACAGUCUCCCUGAAAGCAGCUGCCUUGGAUCCAGCCUUUUCUGCUGCUGUGGAUUGAGCCCCAUGUGCUGGUCAACCGUGACAUCAAGGCAGAGGUGGCACAACGAGUUAAGGAAUUGAUCCUGCAAGAUGCUGCAGAGACAGAGCAACCUGUGCUGCUGCCUGCUGAAGAAGAACUAGAGGACAUGGAAGGAGAAGGGCUGUUUGCUGCAUACCAUAAGAGGCAGAAAAGGGAUGUUGGGACCCCACCUGGGGCCU